GCCAGGUGUGGUGGUGAGCAUCUGUAGUCCCAGCUACUUGAGAGGCUGAGGUGGGAGGAUUGCUUGAGCCCAGGAGUUCUGGGCUGUAGUGCGCUAUGCCGAUCGGGUGUCCACACUAAGUUCGGCAUCAAUAUGGUGACCUCCCAGGAGCGGGGGACCACCAGGUUGCCUGGUGGGUAAACCGGCCCAGGUCGAAAACAGAGCAGGUCAAAACUCCCAUACUAAUUAGUAGUGGGAUCACGCCUGUGAAUGGCCACUGCACUCCAGCCUGGGCAACAUAGCAAGUCCCCAUCUCUU
rnacentral:SRP_RNA from 13 species